AGAGUUGAUCUGGCUCAGAUGAACGCUGGCGGCAGGCCUAACACAUGCAAGUCGGACGGUAGCACAGAGAGCUUGCUCUUGGGUGACGAGUGGCGGACGGGUGAGUAAUGUCUGGGGAUCUGCCCGAUAGAGGGGGGAUAACCACUGGAAACGGUGGCUAAUACCGCAUAACGUCGCAAGACCAAAGAGGGGGACCUUCGGGCCUCUCACUAUCGGAUGAACCCAGAUGGGAUUAGCUAGUAGGCGGGGUAAUGGCCCACCUAGGCGACGAUCCCUAGCUGGUCUGAGAGGAUGACCAGCCACACUGGAACUGAGACACGGUCCAGACUCCUACGGGAGGCAGCAGUGGGGAAUAUUGCACAAUGGGCGCAAGCCUGAUGCAGCCAUGCCGCGUGUAUGAAGAAGGCCUUCGGGUUGUAAAGUACUUUCAGCGGGGAGGAAGGCGGUGAGGUUAAUAACCUUACCGAUUGACGUUACCCGCAGAAGAAGCACCGGCUAACUCCGUGCCAGCCGCCGC
rnacentral:rRNA from 1 species